rnacentral:lncRNA from 1 species
UGAGCGUAGAAGACUGGGGUCUAGUGAGCGUGGGGUGUGGGAGGGGGAAUUUCCUGCGCCCAAGCUGAUAGUGCUUAACGAUUUCGUGAAAAGAAAGCAAUGGGUCGGAGUCGUGCUCACAACCCGUACUGUCUAGCGCAUCGGGACCAUCGCGGAAUGUGAGACCUCGCGCUUGGUCAUGAACUAGCUCAUUCGGGUUGGGUUUGCUGGGAUGUACAUUGUUUCCCAUGUGCGCCGGGAACGAUGCGAUAUGCUUUUGGAUUUCUG